GGCUCCUUGAACUACCUAGAUAAGGAGUCGGACCUGCCCAGUGAAAAAUUUUAACGGCCGCGGUACUCUGACCGUGCAAAGGUAGCAUAAUCACUUGCCUUAUAAUUGAAGGCUAGUAUGAAUGGUUUGACGAAAGCUAACCUGUCUCUUUUCCACUUUAUAGAAUUUAACCUUCAGGUGAAGAGGCCUGCUUGAAAUUGAAGGACGAGAAGACCCUGUCGAGCUUUAAGAAAACAAGGAAAACUUUAUAAUUAUAAAUAUAAAACCUUCUUUAUCUUUUGGUUGGGGCGACUAGGGAACAGAAAAAGCUUCCCCUAUCUAUAAAACCUUUUCGUCAGGAUCCAGUACUUUUCUGAUUAAAAGAAUUAGUUACCGCAGGGAUAACAGCAUAAUCCUUCUUGAGAGACCUAAUCGAAAGAAGGGGUUGUGACCUCGAUGUUGGACUAGGAUACCCCGAAGGUGCAGAAGCCUUCGAAGGUUGGUCUGUUCGACCAUUAAAAUCCUACG
rnacentral:rRNA from 1 species